AAUGAGACUGCCGGUGACAAACCGGAGGAAGUGGGAUGACGUCAAGUCCUCAUGGCCCUUAUGGGUAGGGCUUCACACGUCAUACAAUGGUCGGUACAGAGGGUUGCCAAGCCGCGAGGUGGAGCCAAUCCCAGAAAGCCGCUCUCAGUUCGGAUUGCAGGCUGCAACUCGCCUGCAUGAAGCCGGAAUCGCUAGUAAUCGCGGAUCAGCAUGCCGCGGUGAAUACGUUCCCGGGCCUU
rnacentral:rRNA from 1 species